rnacentral:piRNA from 1 species
UGGAGACAUUUCUUGAUGCUAGUGAUGC